AGGAGACAAAGCAAAUGUGUGUCGUGUACCCGUGGCUCUCUCAGGGGCACUCGUGUGAAUAUUUGAGGACCACAUGGCAGCACAGCCAGAGAACCAAAUGCAAAUCAGGCGCAACGAACUUUAAGCCUCAUACGGUCUGAUCAUCACAGGAGCAGCGGGCUCUUUCACGGCUCCUUCAUUGGGGAUUUGUGAAAACAAUUCAGCACAGCCGGAAUGGCUUCUGGCUGUGUGCCGACUACUACGUUUAGCGACUUCCCAGAGCAGUGAGACCUCCUUACCUUUCGCACACUACGGUACUUUUCAUUUCAAUUCAGUGUGGACUGAAGAUUAUAAACUCUUGGUUCCCAAUAUUGCUUUUGAACUCCUUCUCGUUUUUAUGAUUUUAGGGUCCGCUUUUUUGUCUACGAGAUGAUGUUUACUUCACUUUAACAAUUACCAUCUUACAAGUCUUUCCAGGUAUUGCUGAGGGAAUUAUCUGCCCCUUUCAGAGCUAAAUGUUAAAAUUUCAAGACUUGGACUGGGUACUUUUUAAGUAGGGCAAACAGUUUUAUAACAUCAAUCUGAAAUGGCGGGUGGGGUCAGAGUUGAACAAACAAUGAGGGGGACUGUCACUGAAGAUCCUACAUGAUAUUAAUGAGCUACAAAGGGAGAUGAAAAGAGAAACCCUCAAGAAAUAGAUCUGUAUUUCUCGAAACGGCCAGCAGGAUUUCAAUCACCCAGAGAACGUUUACUAGUUAAUUUAGGCUGCUGGCAUAAAGUCUUUUUCAAACAAUGAAGAUCAUGCCAGGACGUGGUCAAAUCCAAGCUAGCAAUGGAGACAUUCAGGAGAAGGUGACUGUUUUCCCUUAGAAAAACAGUGAACAGGACUUUUGUGGUACAGAAUAAUUUGUUCCACCACACUUUAUCUUUAAUGUUUGAUUUCCCCUCCAUAAACGGCCACUACAACCAUGAGAGCCAUCAAGCACUUUCUAAGAGUAUUUCCACUGUAAGAUUACAUCUCCAGAAGCCCCUUCACAGGCAAAUAUCGUUAAAAAAAAAUAGCCACCGACUUUAAGAAGAAAAAGUUA